AGAACUCCGAUUGCGAAGGCAGCCCGCCAGCCCGCUACUGACGUUGAGGCUCGAAGGUGCGGGUAUCGAACAGGAUUAGAUACCCUGGUAGUCCGCACGGUAAACGAUGGACACCCGCCGUGGGCGACAUACAGUCCACGGCCAAGCGAAAGCGUUAAGUGUCCCGCCUGGGGAGUACGCCGGCAACGGUGAAACUCAAAGGAAUUGACGGGGGCCCGCACAAGCGGAGGAACAUGUGGUUUAAUUCGAUGAUACGCGAGGAACCUUACCCGGGCUCGAACCUCCCCCGAAUCCGGCGGAGACGCCGGAGCCAGCAAUGGCGGGGGCGGAGGUGCUGCAUGGUUGUCGUCAGCUCGUGCCGUGAGGUGUCGGCUUAAGUGCCAUAACGAGCGCAACCCCUCCCUCCAGUUGCCAUCGGGUAAUGCCGGGGACUCUGGAGGCACUGCCAUCGCAAGAUGCGAGGAAGGCGGGGAUGACGUCAAAUCAGCACGGCCCUUACGUCCGGGGCUACACACGUGUUACAAUGGGGGGUACAGAGGGCCGCUGCACGGCGACGUUCGGCCAAUCCCUAAAUCCCCUCCCAGUUCGGACCGGAGUCUGGAACCCGACUCCGCGAAGCUGGAUUCGCUAGUAAUCGCGCAUCAGCCAUGGCGCGGUGAAUACGUUCCCGGGCCUUGUACACACCGCCCGUCAAGCCAUGAAAGCCGGGGGUGCCUGAAGUGCGCUUCCGCGAGGGGCGCCCUAGGGUAAAACCGGUGAUUGGGGCUAAGUCGUAACGAGGUAACCA
rnacentral:rRNA from 1 species